rnacentral:rRNA from 1 species
AAACGAUUGAAGUCAGUCGUACCGACGGGAAAUCAACUAUCUUGAGUGCGAUUUUGUGGGUGGUGAUGAGCUUAACGGCCUUCAUACUUGCAAAUUUGUAUUCUUGUGGUGUAUUUUUUCGUAUGGUGGGUCAACAUCAAUUUUGAACGUUAUAAAAUGAUUGGUGGAAUGUAGCUUCGGUCUCGUAUUGAAGUGUUAUAGCCCCUGAUAGAUGUAACGAUUGAGAUUGAGGAUUGCAACGAAUACCUUUCGAGGCUAUUCGCCUGAUCUCUGGAAGUCACUUUGGUAUCGAAAGCGUGCUUUCGGUAUUGAGGAUGGUGACCAAAAGGUUAGAGCGUGAUUAAAUUCGUUAAGGAUGUUGACGUAAUGACUUUAAACGA